ACGCUGGCGGCGUGCCUAAUACAUGCAAGUAGAACGCUGAAGGAGGAGCUUGCUUCUCUGGAUGAGUUGCGAACGGGUGAGUAACGCGUAGGUAACCUGCCUGGUAGCGGGGGAUAACUAUUGGAAACGAUAGCUAAUACCGCAUAAGAGUAGAUGUUGCAUGACAUUUGCUUAAAAGGUGCAAUUGCAUCACUACCAGAUGGACCUGCGUUGUAUUAGCUAGUUGGUGGGGUAACGGCUCACCAAGGCGACGAUACAUAGCCGACCUGAGAGGGUGAUCGGCCACACUGGGACUGAGACACGGCCCAGACUCCUACGGGAGGCAGCAGUAGGGAAUCUUCGGCAAUGGACGGAAGUCUGACCGAGCAACGCCGCGUGAGUGAAGAAGGUUUUCGGAUCGUAAAGCUCUGUUGUAAGAGAAGAACGAGUGUGAGAGUGGAAAGUUCACACUGUGACGGUAUCUUACCAGAAAGGGACGGCUAACUACGUGCCAGCAGCCGCGGUAAUACGUAGGUCCCGAGCGUUGUCCGGAUUUAUUGGGCGUAAAGCGAGCGCAGGCGGUUAGAUAAGUCUGAAGUUAAAGGCUGUGGCUUAACCAUAGUACGCUUUGGAAACUGUUUAACUUGAGUGCAAGAGGGGAGAGUGGAAUUCCAUGUGUAGCGGUGAAAUGCGUAGAUAUAUGGAGGAACACCGGUGGCGAAAGCGGCUCUCUGGCUUGUAACUGACGCUGAGGCUCGAAAGCGUGGGGAGCAAACAGGAUAAGAUACCCUGGUAGUCCACGCCGUAAACGAUGAGUGCUAGGUGUUAGACCCUUUCCGGGGUUUAGUGCCGUAGCUAACGCAUUAAGCACUCCGCCUGGGGAGUACGACCGCAAGGUUGAAACUCAAAGGAAUUGACGGGGGCCCGCACAAGCGGU
rnacentral:rRNA from 1 species